UUCUCGAAUUUAAAAGAGUUAAUUAAUUAAAAAAUUUAUUGUAGCAAAAAUAUUUUUCAUAAUUAAUUAGAAAUGAAAUGUUAAUCGUUUUUAAAUAUAUCUAGUUUUUUUAGAAAAAAAUUUAAUUUUAAAUUAAAUUAAUUAAAAAAUUAAUUAAAAAAUUUUUUAAAAUUUAAAUUUAAUAUUUUAAGGGAUAAGCUUUAAUUUAAAAUAUUUAUAAUUAAAUAUUAAAUUUUUUGAAAAUUUUAAAAUUUAUAUUGUUUAAAAAUUAUAAUUUUUUAUAAAUAAUUUCAUAAAAAAUAAAAUUUAAUUUUAAUUUAAUUUUUUUAUAAAAAAAUAAAAUUUAAAAAAAUAAUUUUAGUUAUAAUGAUAAAAUUAGUAUAUAAAUUUUAUUUAAUUAAUAUUAUAAAAUAUUUUUAAAUGAAAAAUUAAUUAUAAGGAAUUCGGCAAAAAUUUAUAUUCACUUGUUUAUCAAAAACAUGUCUUUUUGAAAUAAUUUAAAGUCUAAUCUGCCCACUGAUGAAAAUUGAAGGGCUGCAGUAUUUUGACUGUACAAAGGUAGCAUAAUCAUUAGUCUCUUAAUUGGUGACUUGUAUGAAAGAUUGGAUGAAAUAUAAGCUGUCUUAUUUUUAUUUAUAGAAUUUAAUUUUUU
rnacentral:rRNA from 1 species